GGACGUGAGGGCGAUCUGGCUGUGACAUCUGCCAUGCAUUGAUUGCCAGGUUGACAGGCCUUGCUGGCUAGGCGGGUGUCUCCUCCCUCCCUCACUGCUCCGUGUACGUCCUUCCUGAAGCUGCACUCUCCGUCGACAGUCCCCGACGGAGGAGGACCGGUCUUCGGUCAAGGGUGUACGAGUCGCCACACUUUCCUGCUAGAGCCUCCAAACAAGCUCUCAAGGUCCAAAUGACACUGGGGGUGAGGGCUUCAACACAGGAAUCUGGGGUGCACAGUGCAACCAAUAAGCU
rnacentral:snRNA from 1 species